rnacentral:rRNA from 1 species
CUCAGAGAGAACGGUGGGCGCAGGCAUCACACAUGCAAGUCGAGCGGUAGCACAGUGAGCUUGCUCUUGGGUGACGAGCGGCGGACGGGUGAGUAAUGUCUGGGAAACUGCCUGAUGGAGGGGGAUAACUACUGGAAACGGUAGCUAAUACCGCAUAACGUCGCAAGACCAAAGAGGGGGACCUUCGGGCCUCUUGCCAUCAGAUGUGCCCAGAUGGGAUUAGCUAGUAGGUGGGGUAACGGCUCACCUAGGCGACGAUCCCUAGCUGGUCUGAGAGGAUGACCAGCCACACUGGAACUGAGACACGGUCCAGACUCCUACGGGAGGCAGCAGUGGGGAAUAUUGCACAAUGGGCGCAAGCCUGAUGCAGCCAUGCCGCGUGUAUGAAGAAGGCCUUCGGGUUGUAAAGUACUUUCAGCGGGGAGGAAGGCGAUAAGGUUAAUAACCUUGUCGAUUGACGUUACCCGCAGAAGAAGCACCGGCUAACUCCGUGCCAGCAGCCGCGGUAAUACGGAGGGUGCAAGCGUUAA